AUGGCUAUAAUGCUGCUCUGCCUUCUACAGCUUGCUGCACCACUCUGUAGUUACUCUGUAACUGUACAUUUCUACCUUUUUUGGUUAAACACUUCCUGAUUAUGAUGGUGAUGAUGAUAUAUAUACAUCCAUAUUAUACACAUUGAUAUAUGUGUAAAGAAUUUUCUUUCAUCUUUAUUUUGUGGGCUGGGCAAAAUUUAAAGUAACAACUUCAUGAUACUUUGGUAUAAGAGUAACUUCACUAUUUUUAUAAUGAAUCCAAAUCUAAGAGCUUUUGUAGUGUAUUUCAAAAGGGGAAACUUACCCAGAUGUUUUAUUACUACACGUUUGUAUAUAUGUGCGUGUGUGUGUUUAAGCCAGUUAGUAUAUAUGUACAUGUAUAUUAUAUACAUAAUACAUUUUAUAUUUUUACAUACAAGUAUGCUUUUAUUAUACAGAUAAUAAAGAUGGGGGAAGGUUUCUGUUUUUUUCUUAAUAGGUGAAGAAAUCUUGAAGACCAGAAAUUGGAUCUUACUGAAUUUUGAUUUUUCUUUUUCUUUUUCUUUUUCUUUUUUUUUUAAAUUAUAUUGUUCGGCUAUGGAAGAUGGAUCUUUUUUUUUUUUUUUUU